rnacentral:misc_RNA from 1 species
CCCCAGAGUUGAAAGAUGCAUUCUCCUGCGAAUAAGCUAUUGGUUGCUGGUGCAAAGUUGCAGCUGAAGCUGGAAACUGUUGAUAGCCUGAUGAAGGAAAUGGAUGUUGCUGAAUAUCUUGAUAAUGAGAAUCAACAGUUUGUGGAAACCAGUUUUGUUCUUCCGUUCUGCCAACUUGUGUAAAUUGGGGCUGAGGAUGGUGAUCCUCCAUUGCAGCUUUUUGUGC